CAGUUAUUCAUGCCGACGGAUAUAUAGUAAGCUUCGUACAGAGCUCCAUCGCGCUAUGGAAAUAUCACGAUCGAUAUCAGGAACAAAUAUGAGCAAACAGAAAAUAAACCAUAAGAAGUCUGCACUGGAUGAGGUUAAAUCGGAUAUAGAAAGGGAGCGUGAAGCUUCCAACAGAUCACAGAGCUGGUUAGCUAAAGGAUUAGUCGUGCAAGUAAUCACAGACAGACUGGGUGAGUCAGUGAAAAACAAAACAGGUCAAGUUGUCCGAGUGGUAAAUGGAGGAUACAGAGGAAUGGAGGCCAGGUUAGAAUCAAUUGAUAAUGAAGAACAUAAAGCUCGUGUAGAGGUUAAAACAGGCCUGUUCAGUGGGCGAAUCUUGAAUAUUCAUCUUAAUGAUAUAUGUGAAUUUAAAGACGUGUCAUAAAAACAGAGAUGUAGGAUUCUGAUGAAGAUCAUCUUGUUAGAAAAAUAUUGAUUCUGUUUGUAGCAAACUUUAACCGAGUGGUAUGUGAUGAAUCUAGAGAGAUGUGUCUUAAAAACAAAGAUCAGAAAUUCUGAUGAAGAUCAUAUUAUUGUCAGCAAACAUUUGGUCCUAACCAGUCCCUUUACUUCGUUUUCUACAGUCGGGGAAAUACUAAACCAGAACAUUUAUAGAGAUCAGAAAUUUAUAAUUUUAAACUUAUACUGGAAAUUAGACGAUUUUAAUAUUAAUAUUCCACAAUCUGAAUGUGUGUACCUAGUGGCGUGGGUAGGAUUAGAAUCAGAUUCUGUCAGUCCACUUAUUUUUGAAAAGAUUGUUGAAUUUGAAACUAUAAACCACCUCCCCGGGCCUUCACGCCUGUUUAAGGCUCUCGUCAAUAUCAGGGUAUCCGGACCCCGGCAGGUAAUCGGGGCUUAGUACAGGCCCGUAGAACGCUACAAUGAUGGUAUUGGUAAGCGAACUAGUGUCACGCUCUGCCGCCAGUGAUCAUGCAUGCGAUUAUCGAUCGCUUAUGUAAGCUGACUGGUAUCCGAUUAUUAAAAACGAAACUGAAAGAGAAACUAAUGUAUUACUUUCAUCUUCGUUUUGUCAGGUGCUAAAAAGCUUGAUGUUUUAAACAUGUAAAUGUAUUUGGUAUGUCAUAUGAUAUGUUGUUGUGUUAAAUGUGAGUUACUAUAGGUAUACGCCAAAAUGAUGCUAGAGACCUUGUAUCUUCAAACAAUUCGAGCCCCCCUCCCUCCUUGCCGAGUUGUUUAUUAUCUUGUGUUUAGUACUCGAUUGAAAUGAUUAUAUAUAGGCGUAAACACAGUGUAUAAAUAUAAAAUCAUGACCUGAAACACAGUGUAUAAAUUUAAAGUCAAUCGGAUAUCUUGAAAAUCAUUCUUCGUCUCAUGACCUUAAACACUGUGUAUAAAUUUAGAGUCAAGGGCCUAUUCUGCCAGUAAUUAUCUGAAAUCGUUAAAAUCAAUAGGCUUCUUCAUCUCAUGAGCUUAAACACUGUGUAUAAAUUUAAAGUCAAUCAGAGAUUAACUUUAGCCUUGAGAGCAUCCAUGAGAUUUUUCAAAGUGAACAAGGGCCAUAACUCUGGUAGUAAUUAUCAAUCGAUAGGCUUUUUCGGCUCAUGGCCUUUAACACUGUGUAUAAAUUUAAAGUCAAUCGGAUAUUAACUUUAGCCUCUAGAGUGUCCUCGAGCAAUGAAAAUAUACAUUUCAAUGUUGGCGUAUCAAAAGUAUUUAUCUUCAGCAGAUAAAUAUAUGAAAGAAAGGACUCAAUGUUCAAUUCCAUGCAUAACUUGAGAAAUUGAAUGGAGUUAAAUGUCUUAUCAACGGAAUACUUCAUCCGUGUUCGGAUGGGGCAAAAAUCCGAAGUCCCAUGUAUAUACGUAAAAGAUCCCUCGGCAGUUGGAAUUCGAUAUAAGAGUAGGCCAAAGUGCCACUGCCCGGGCAAAAUUUCCCUCGUAGCACAUAGAGAGAGAGAUAGAGAAAUGGGGUUUAUCGUCCACUCGACACAAACUAGGUUAUUUUGGGACUAACAUAUGGUUCAUUUUUAUUUCCAUAAUUCGCUUGCGCGUACGGUUCUUUAGUAGUUUUAGGAAUAUGAGGCCCCGGAGAAAACCCACGAGGUUGGAUAGGCGACCCUACUCCUUGUCACGUACAACCGGGGAAUCGAAACCCCGCCAGUUGACUCAAUGACAGACUAUAUGAUACAGCGCGCACGUGCUAACCAUUCAGCCAUCCAUCCCAGUCGGAGCAAAACAGUAAGACGUUAAACCUCCUUCCAUUUUCUGUCAAUGGCAGACCUUUCCACUGUGAUCCAGACACCAACCCUAAAGGCCAGGCUUGAUA